rnacentral:rRNA from 1 species
GAUGAACGCUGGCGGCGUGCCAAUACAUGCAAGUCGAGCGAACAGACGAGGAGCUUGCUCCUCUGACGUUAGCGGCGGACGGGUGAGUAACACGUGGAUAACCUACCUAUAAGACUGGGAUAACUUCGGGAAACCGGAGCUAAUACCGGAUAAUAUAUUGAACCGCAUGGUUCAAUAGUGAAAGAAGGGUUUGCUGUCACUUAUAGAUGGAUCCGCGCCGCAUUAGCUAGUUGGUAAGGUAACGGCUUACCAAGGCAACGAUGCGUAGCCGACCUGAGAGGGUGAUCGGCCACACUGGAACUGAGACACGGUCCAGACUCCUACGGGAGGCAGCAGUAGGGAAUCUUCCGCAAUGGGCGAAAGCCUGACGGAGCAACGCCGCGUGAGUGAUGAAGGUCUUCGGAUCGUAAAACUCUGUUAUUAGGGAAGAACAAAUGUGUAAGUAACUAUGCACGUCUUGACGGUACCUAAUCAGAAAGCCACGGCUAACUACGUG